rnacentral:rRNA from 1 species
GGAUGAGCCCGCGGCGUAUUAGCUAGUUGGUAAGGUAACGGCUUACCAAGGCAACGAUACGUAGCCGACCUGAGAGGGUGAUCGGCCACACUGGAACUGAGACACGGUCCAGACUCCUACGGGAGGCAGCAGUGGGGAAUAUUGCACAAUGGGCGCAAGCCUGAUGCAGCGACGCCGCGUGGGGGAUGAAGGCCUUCGGGUUGUAAACUCCUUUCGCUAGGGACGAAGCUUUGUUGUGACGGUACCUAGAUAAGAAGCACCGGCUAACUACGUGCCAGCAGCCGCGGUAAUACGUAGGGUGCGAGCGUUGUCCGGAAUUACUGGGCGUAAAGGGCUCGUAGGUGGUUUGUCGCGUC